UAUUACAUCCGACUUAAUUUCCUGCGAGCUUGUCAUAUUGUUUGUUAAAUUGCAAAAUGGAUAAGUUACAUAUAUUAUUCAUGAAUAUUUGUUUGUUGAUUUUACCAACCAUGAAUUACAUUCAAUGACGUGUUUUGUGUUUGCGCUGAAAGCAUACAAAACAAACUAAAACCGGCGAUCUGUGACUACCAAUGCCCUGGAGAUAAAAACGAAGUUUGUGGAGGAAAAAUGGAGUAUCAUUGUAUAUGACAGGGUCACAAAAUACAGAAACAACGGUAACAGAAGUCACAACAAUAACAGAAAAAAUAGAAACAACAGAAAUGCCAAUACAGACUCAGUCAAGAACAGAAUUGUCAAGUAUCAAAACUCGAAUCUCAACGGAAAAAUUAUUAUCAGAUUUUAAAUCAGAUAGAGAAUUAGCUUCAUCAAAAGAAACAGGUUUGUAAACAUAAUUAUAA